CCAAGCCAAAAUCUUACUGGCAUAUGCAAUAGUGUCUGAGUUGGUUGGUUGUUUAUGGGAUGGAUCCCCAGGUGGGGCAGUAUCUGGAUGAUCCUUCCUUCCAUCUCAGCUCCAAAGUUUGUCUCUGUUACUCCUCCCAUGGGUAUUUUGUUCCCCCUUCUAAGAAGGAAUGAAGUAUCUACACUUUGGUCCUCCUUCUUCUUGUGUUUUGCAAAUUGUAUCUUGGGUAUUCUAAGUUUCUAGACUAAUAUCCACCUAUCAGUGAGUGCAUAUCAUGUGUUCUUUUGUGAUUGGAUUACCUCACUAAGGAUGAUCUCCUCUAGAUCCAUCGAUUUGUCUAAGAAUUUCAUAAACUCAUUGUUUUUAAUAUCUGAGUAGUACUCCAUUG
rnacentral:lncRNA from 1 species